rnacentral:rRNA from 1 species
GAGUUUGAUCCUGGCUCAGGACGAACGCUGGCGGCGCGCCUAACACAUGCAAGUCGAACGGAGCUGAGAGAAGCUUGCUUUUCUUAGCUUAGUGGCGAACGGGUGAGUAACGCGUGAGUAACCUGCCCUGGAGUGGGGGACAACAGUUGGAAACGACUGCUAAUACCGCAUAAGCCCACGGAACCGGCAUGGUACUGAGGGAAAAGGAUUUAUUCGCUUUAGGAUGGACUCGCGUCCAAUUAGCUAGUUGGUGAGGUAACGGCCCACCAAGGCGACGAUUGGUAGCCGGACUGAGAGGUUGAACGGCCACAUUGGGACUGAGACACGGCCCAGACUCCUACGGGAGGCAGCAGUGGGGGAUAUUGCACAAUGGGGGAAACCCUGAUGCAGCGACGCCGCGUGGAGGAAGAAGGUUUUCGGAUUGUAAACUCCUGUCGUUAGGGACGAUAAUGACGGUACCUAACAAGAAAGCACCGGCUAACUACGUGCCAGCCGCCGCGGUAAUAC